rnacentral:rRNA from 1 species
UUGACCUCGGAUCAGGUAGGGAUACCCGCUGAACUUAAGCAUAUCAAUAAGCGGAGGAAAAGAAACCAACAGGGAUUGCCUCAGUAACGGCGAGUGAAGCGGCAAGAGCUCAAAUUUGAAAUCUGGCUCCUUCGGGGCCCGAGUUGUAAUUUGUAGAGGAUGCUUCGGGCGUGGCCGCGGUCUAAGUCCCCUGGAACGGGGCGUCGCAGAGGGUGAGAAUCCCGUCUUCGGCCGGCCGGCCCCGCCCGUGUGAAGCUCCUUCGACGAGUCGAGUUGUUUGGGAAUGCAGCUCUAAAUGGGUGGUAAAUUUCAUCUAAAGCUAAAUACUGGUCGGAGACCGAUAGCGCACAAGUAGAGUGAUCGAAAGAUGAAAAGCACUUUGAAAAGAGAGUUAAACAGCAUGUGAAAUUGUUGAAAGGGAAGCGCUUGCGACCAGAGUCGGCCGCGGGGGCUCAGCGGGCACUCGUUGCCCGUGCACUCCCCCGUGGUCGGGCCAGCGUCGGUUUCGACGGCCGGUCAAAGGCCCCCGGAAUGUGUCGCCUCUCGGGGCGUCUUAUAGCCGGGGGUGCAAUGCGGCCAGUCGGGACCGAGGAACGCGCUCCGGCACGGACGCUGGCUUAAUGGUCGUAAGCGACC